UACGUAGGGUGCGAGCGUUAAUCGGAAUUACUGGGCGUAAAGCGUGCGCAGGCGGUUCGCUAAGACCGAUGUGAAAUCCCCGGGCUUAACCUGGGAACUGCACUUGUGACUGCACGGCUGGAGUGCGGCAGAGGGGAUGGAAUUCCGGCGUGUAGCAGUGAAAUGCGUAGAUAUCGGGAGGAACACCAAUGGCGAAGGCAGCUCGCUGGGACGUUACUGACGCUGAGACGCGAAAGCGUGGGGAGCAAACAGG
rnacentral:rRNA from 1 species